rnacentral:rRNA from 1 species
UACGUAGGGUGCAAGCGUUGUCCGGAAUUAUUGGGCGUAAAGAGCUCGUAGGCGGCCACCGCAAGUCGACUGUGAAAUCUCCGGGCUUAACCCGGAAAGGUCAGCCGAUACUGCGGGGCUAGAGUGCAGAAGGGGCAACUGGAAUUCUCGGUGUAGCGGUGAAAUGCGUAGAUAUCGAGAGGAACACCUGCGGCGAAGGCGGGUUGCUGGGCUGACACUGACGCUGAUGCGCGAAAGCUAGGGGAGCGAACGGG